GAUGAACGCUAGCGGCAGGCUUAAUACAUGCAAGUCGUACGGGAUCCGAGGUAGCAAUACUUUGGUGAGAGUGGCGCACGGGUGCGUAACACGUAUGCAACCUACCUUUAACCGGGACACAACCCACCGAAAGGUGAGCUAAUAUCCCAUAACACUGCGAAGUGGCAUCACUUUGCAGUUAAAAACUCCGGUGGUUAUGGAUGGGCAUGCGCGACAUUAGCUAGUUGGUGAGGUAACGGCCCACCAAGGCUACGAUGUCUAGGGGUUCUGAGAGGAUUAUCCCCCANACUGGUACUGAGACACGGACCAGACUCCUACGGGAGGCAGCAGUAAGGAAUAUUGGUCAAUGGGCGC
rnacentral:rRNA from 1 species